rnacentral:rRNA from 1 species
AACGAACGCUGGCGGCAUGCCUAACACAUGCAAGUCGAACGAAGCCUUCGGGCUUAGUGGCGCACGGGUGCGUAACGCGUGGGAAUCUGCCCUUGGGUUCGGAAUAACAGUUAGAAAUGACUGCUAAUACCGAAUGAUGUCUUCGGACCAAAGAUUUAUCGCCCAAGGAUGAGCCCGCGUCGGAUUAGCUAGUUGGUGAGGUAAAGGCUCACCAAGGCGACGAUCCGUAGCUGGUCUGAGAGGAUGAUCAGCCACACUGGGACUGAGACACGGCCCAGACUCCUACGGGAGGCAGCAGUGGGGAAUCUUAGACAAUGGGCGCAAGCCUGAUCUAGCCAUGCCGCGUGAGCGAUGAAGGCCUUAGGGUUGUAAAGCUCUUUCGUGGGGGGAAGAUAAUGACGGUACCCCAAGAAGAAGCCCCCGGCUAAACUCCGUGCCAGCAGCCGCGGUAAU